UUUAAUAAAUAAUUUUUUGAUAUGAUGAACAAACAGUUUGCUAAAUUUUUAAGUUUCUUAUUUGUAAGACUUGAAAUAUUAUUUUUUCAAAGGAAAUUAAAUUUUAUAGUGAUAAAUUAUUUUUUAUGAAGCCUUGAUCAAACACAAAGUUUCAUAUAAAUUAUAGUGGUGAAAAAGAAUAUGUUACCUUUGUCAUUUUUCCGAGUGUUGGUAUUGGAUGUUUUUUAAUGGAACUUUGUGAAAAUAAUUAUAAAGGUCAUUUAUACGCACAAUGACAAUAUUAGAAAAAAUUCUGCUAUGCUGUCUUGCACUAUUUCUUAUUUUUAUGAAUUGUAAUGAUGCUAUACCAUUAAUGCUAUUACUAGGAUUCGUUGGAUUUGUAAUUCUGUGUGAUUGAACGGUAAAUGGCUAAUGAAAAAUAUUUAUUGCACACUUCACUAUAUUAUCAAUAAUAAUUACUUUAACUUGUAAUACAAGAGAUUUUACUCGUUGAAGCAUUACGGGGUCACUAUCACACCGGGAGCACGAGUUUAUUUUAUGUCUACAUAUAAUAAUUAGCUAUCUGGUACGAGGUGCAGAAAUAGACCGAAACUUAACUUUUUUUUAUUGCCUUGGUUUUAAGAUGUCUAUUUUCUGUAUAAUGAUAUCAUUCAUUUUAUAUUCAAUGAUAUUCGUGAGAAAGUUGAUGAAUAGAUUGGUUUUUGUAGUGACCUAGAAUAGUAAAUUAAAUCUUCAAUCACGUAAAUUGAGAAUAAAAAAUUUGCGCAAUGUUUAUAUCCUGUAGCCUGUUUACAAUUGUUUCUAUUAUACGUAUAAAUAAAUUAUUAAAUAAUAAUGAAUAGUAAAAAUAGUAAAUACAUUAAUGAAGUUAUUUAAAUUAUUUUUGUUAUGCUUUGUAUAGUAAA